rnacentral:rRNA from 1 species
AGUGAACGCUGGCGGUAGGCCUAACACAUGCAAGUCGAACGGCAGCACAGUAAGAGCUUGCUCUUACGGGUGGCGAGUGGCGGACGGGUGAGGCAUACAUCGGAAUCUACUUUUUCGUGGGGGAUAACGUAGGGAAACUUACGCUAAUACCGCAUACGACCUACGGGUGAAAGCAGGGGAUCUUCGGACCUUGCGCGAUUGAAUGAGCCGAUGUCGGAUUAGCUAGUUGGCGGGGUAAAGGCCCACCAAGGCGACGAUCCGUAGCUGGUCUGAGAGGAUGAUCAGCCACACUGGAACUGAGACACGGUCCAGACUCCUACGGGAGGCAGCAGUGGGGAAUAUUGGACAAUGGGCGAAAGCCUGAUCCAGCCAUACCGCGUGGGUGAAGAAGGCCUUCGGGUUGUAAAGCCCUUUUGUUGGGAAAGAAAAGCAGCAGGUUAAUACCCCGCUGUUCUGACGGUACCCAAAGAAUAAGCACCGGCUAACUUCGUG